AUACGGAGGGUGCAAGCGUUAAUCGGAAUUACUGGGCGUAAAGCGUACGUAGGCGGGUCGUUAAGUUAGAUGUGAAAGCCCCGGGCUUAACCUGGGAACUGCAUUUAAAACUGGCGGACUAGAGUUGAGUAGAGGGGAGUGGAAUUUCAGGUGUAGCGGUGAAAUGCGUAGAGAUCUGAAGGAACACCAGUGGCGAAGGCGACUCCCUGGACUCGAACUGACGCUGAGGUACGAAAGCGUGGGUAGCAAACGGGAUUAGAAACCCCUGUAGUCC
rnacentral:rRNA from 1 species